rnacentral:rRNA from 1 species
UACGUAGGGGGCAAGCGUUGUCCGGAUUUAUUGGGCGUAAAGAGCGUGUAGGCGGUUAGGUAGGUCCGUUGUGAAAACUCGAGGCUCAACCUCGGGCCUGCAGUGGGUACGGGCAGACUAGAGUGCGGUAGGGGAGAUUGGAAUUCCUGGUGUAGCGGUGGAAUGCGCAGAUAUCAGGAGGAACACCAAUGGCGAAGGCGGAUCUCUGGGCCGUAACUGACGCUGAGGAGCGAAAGCAUGGGGAGCGAACAGG